GGUAGAAGGAGAAGAAAGAUGGUGGCAGUCAGCAAGUUUGAAGGAUAGUGGCACACACCAGUUCUGCUUGGAAGCUGAUGGUAAGUUCCAGGAAUCCUGUUUCUGUCUCCAGUAACAGAGUUAUAGGAGCUCACCUCCCCAUCAGGCUUCUUGUGUAAAGACCAGUUGACCUUGUCAGUGAAUGAGUGCCAGAGGAGUCCAAGAAGCUCACACACUGUAGGACAUACUUGGAAAAGAGAAUUGUCCUCUUAAAAUGAUGCACGAGGAGGCCGAGUGCCAGAUGCUUUGACAUUUGGGGAAGAAACAGUUUGCAGACAUCCUGGCCUGGAGCAAUGCCUGCUUCUGCCUGAAUACUCACUCACCCAGGACUGCAACAGACAACUCUGUAAAAUGUCAUAGACAAGAAAGAAAUUAACAAAAGGCCAAUUAUCACUCGGAGAAAACAACCUGAUGGUAAUGGCAACUCCCAAAGAAAAAUACUCAAGGUUCAAAGGAGCCUCAAGCUGGUCACAGUGGUGAUGCAAUGGUUUUCUGUGAAUCAUUUCAGACUCCCUGGGAAGACAUCAUGUGGCCUUACAUGCCAUCUGCCUAGCCAUCUGUGUCUUAUCUUGGGCCCUAAAAUGAACCCACUAGACCCUGAUAACUUAUUAUAGGUUCCAUUUAGUCAAUAAACAUCAUUGAAUGCCAA
rnacentral:lncRNA from 1 species